CCUACGUGAGGCAGCAGUGAGGAAUAUUGGUCAAUGGCCGUAAGGCUGAACCAGCCAAGUCGCGUGAAGGAAGAAGGAUCUAUGGUUUGUAAACUUCUUUUAUAGGGGAAUAAAGGUAUCCACGUGUGGAUAUUUGCAUGUACACUAUGAAUAAGCAUCGGCUAACUCCGUGCCAGCAGACGCGGUAAUACGGAAGGUCCGGGCGUUAUCCGGAUUUAUUGGGUUUAAAGGGAGCGUAGGCCGCAGGUCAAGCGUGCUGUGAAAUGUCCGGGCUCCACCCGGGCCUUGCAGCGCGAACUGGCGUGCUUGAGUCCGCGGAAAGCAGGCGGAAUUCCGAGUGUAGCGGUGAAAUGCGUAGAUAUGAGGAGGAACACCAGUGGCGAAGGCGGUCUGCUGGACAGCAACUGACGCUGAGGCGCGAAAGCGUGGGGAGCAAACAGGAUUAGAUACCCGGGUAGUC
rnacentral:rRNA from 1 species